CGAGCGGUAACAGAUCCAGCUUGCUGGAUGCUGACGAGCGGCGGACGGGUGAGUAAUGCAUAGGAAUCUGCCCGAUAGUGGGGGAUAACCUGGGGAAACCCAGGCUAAUACCGCAUACGUCCUACGGGAGAAAGGGGGCUCCGGCUCCCGCUAUGGGAUGAGCCUAUGUCGGAUUAGCUAGUUGGUGAGGUAACGGCUCACCAAGGCCACGAUCCGUAGCUGGUCUGAGAGGAUGAUCAGCCACAUCGGGACUGAGACACGGCCCGAACUCCUACGGGAGGCAGCAGUGGGGAAUAUUGGACAAUGGGGGAAACCCUGAUCCAGCCAUGCCGCGUGUGUGAAGAAGGCCCUCGGGUUGUAAAGCACUUUCAGCGAGGAAGAACGCCUAGCGGUUAAUACCCGCUAGGAAAGACAUCACUCGCAGAAGAAGCACCGGCUAACUCCGUGCCAGCAGCCGCGGUAAUACGGAGGGUGCAAGCGUUAAUCGGAAUUACUGGGCGUAAAGCGCGCGUAGGUGGCUUGAUAAGCCGGUUGUGAAAGCCCCGGGCUCAACCUGGGAACGGCAUCCGGAACUGUCAAGCUAGAGUGCAGGAGAGGAAGGUAGAAUUCCCGGUGUAGCGGUGAAAUGCGUAGAGAU
rnacentral:rRNA from 1 species